AAAAAGUAGAUAAACCUCACAGGGUCAAUGAUAAUAUAACAUAAUCCGAAUCUAGAUUGAAUUAACUUAAAAGGUUACAUAAAGAAACAUAGCAUGUCUUGAAUGAUGAAAAUGAAAACACGAAACCAGAAUCCAUUCCAUUCUAUCAAGAAUAUGUUCCUCAAUCGCCCUUUCUCCGGAAGGAGCAGCCCUCGGUGAGCCUGGCACGGCCGCCAGUCGGUUGGCACAGCACCGUCUGGCAAUUUCCGCACACAACAACUGUUUGGGAGUGGCUGAACACAGUGGUU